rnacentral:lncRNA from 1 species
AACCUUCUCAGGGUACACACCAUCUUUAGGGUGAAGGUAUUGCACCUCACCGUUGGGGAAGACACGGUAGAACUGAUAUUGGAUUUUGAACUUGGUCCUCAAUCUGGCGCCCAAGGCAAGGCACUGCUCCUUCCUUGCGAGCUUCAAUAGGUUAGGUCCCGACCUCAUGAUGGCAGCUCCACCUGCACAAUACACAUCGUCAACUCUCGGAUCUCGGUUACCGACAUCCACUGGUCACUUCUAACGAGGUAGAUUCAAGUACCCACAAUGUGGAUGACGUUCCACUUUCAUCUUGGAUGUCAGAGUGCCGCAUUCGCAGACAUGCUAAUUCAUGCAAUGAUCUAGUUGUAAUGGUUAAAUAUACAGACAAUUGCGUCGUCAGAAACCAAACCACUGCGAUGUAGGUGUGGAUAAUUACAAGUGGAUAAACCGCAUUUCAAUUCAGAACUCACCGGU